rnacentral:snRNA from 1 species
GGAUGUGAGGCAAUCUGGCCAUGACAUUUGUCACCCAGCUGACUGCCAGGACUGAUUUGGCUGAUCUGGCUGGCUAGGAGAUGGUGCCCUUUCUCCUUCACCGCUCCAUGCGUGCCCCCGCCCCCAGUGCUAUGUGUCUGGUUGAAGAGGACAACCUUCUCUCAUAGAGGACGACCAUUUUGCAGUCAAGGGCAUAUGAGCAGCUGCACUCCCCUGCUAGCAUCUCCAGACAAGCUCUCAAAGACAUUGUGUCUACACAAAUAAGUCUUGUAAGUCAUGAACAAAGAAUACACAGGAAGCCU